rnacentral:rRNA from 1 species
CCUACGUGGGUCAGCAGUGAGGAAUAUUGGUCAAUGGGCGGGAGCCUGAACCAGCCAAGUCGCGUUAGGGCAGACGGUCCUAUGUAUUGUAGACCUCUUUAGGCGGGGAGCCAUGCCGGGCACGUGUGCCCGGAGGGAGAGUACCCGCAGAAUAAGCAUCGGCUAACUCCGUGCCAGCCGCCGCGGUAAUACGGAGGAUGCGAGCGUUAUCCGGAUUUAUUGGGUUUAAAGGCUGCGUAGGCGGAUUGUUAAGUCUGCGGUAAAAUGUCCGGGCUCAACCCCAAAACUGCCUCUAAUACUGUUGGAGUAGAGAAUAGUUGCGGUAGGCGGAAUGUAUGGUGUAGCGGUGAAAUGCUUAGAGAUCAUACAGAACACCGAUUGCGAAGGCAGCUUACCAAACUAUAUCUGACGUUGAGGCACGAAAGCGUGGGUAGCAAACAGGAUUAGAUACCCGUGUAGUC